rnacentral:rRNA from 1 species
GUGGCGGACGGGUGAGUAACGCGUGGGUAACCUACCCUGUACAGGGGGAUAACAGUCAGAAAUGACUGCUAAUACCGCAUAAGACCACAGCACCGCAUGGUGCAGGGGUAAAAACUCCGGUGGUACAGGAUGGACCCGCGUCUGAUUAGCUGGUUGGUGAGGUAACGGCUCACCAAGGCGACGAUCAGUAGCCGGCUUGAGAGAGUGAACGGCCACAUUGGGACUGAGACACGGCCCAAACUCCUACGGGAGGCAGCAGUGGGGAAUAUUGCACAAUGGGGGAAACCCUGAUGCAGCGACGCCGCGUGAGUGAAGAAGUAUUUCGGUAUGUAAAGCUCUAUCAGCAGGGAAGAAAAUGACGGUACCUGACUAAGAAGCCCCGGCUAACUACGUGCCAGCAGCCGCGGUAAUACGUAGGGGGCAAGCGUUAUCCGGAAUUACUGGGUGUAAAGGGUGCGUAGGUGGUAUGGCAAGUCAGAAGUGAAAACCCAGGGCUUAACUCUGGGGACUGCUUUUGAAACUGUCAGACUGGAGUGCAGGAGAGGUAAGCGGAAUUCCUAGUGUAGCGGUGAAAUGCGUAGAUAUUAGGAGGAACAUCAGUGGCGAAGGCGGCUUACUGGACUGAAACUGACACUGAG